rnacentral:rRNA from 2 species
CGCCUGUUUAACAAAAACAUGUCUAUAUGAUUGUUAUAUAAAGUCUAGCCUGCCCACUGAUUAGAAUUUAAAGGGCCGCGGUAUACUGACCGUGCGAAGGUAGCAUAAUCAUUAGUCUUUUAAUUGAAGGCUUGUAUGAAUGGUUGGACAAAAAGUAAGCUGUCUCAGUUAUAAGUAUUGAACUUAACUUUUAAGUGAAAAGGCUUAAAUGAAUUAAGGGGACGAUAAGACCCUAUAAAGCUUGACAAUAAGUCAAUUAUAUUAUAAAUUGUUAGUGUAACUUGAUUUUAAUUGGCAUUUGUUACGUUGGGGCGACGAGAAUAUAAUGAGUAACUGUUUUUAAAUAUUUAAUAACAAAUAUAGUUGGUAUUUUAUUGAUCCUUUAUUAAAGAUUAAAAGAUUAAGUUACUUUAGGGAUAACAGCGUGAUCUUCUUUGAGAGUUCAUAUCGACAAGAAGGUUUGCGACCUCGAUGUUGAAUUAAGGUAUCCUUAUGAUGCAGCAGUUAUAAAGGAAGGUCUGUUCGACCUUUAAAUCCUUACAUGAUCUGAGUUCAGACCGG